rnacentral:rRNA from 1 species
AUUGAACGCUGGCGGCAGGCUUAACACAUGCAAGUCGAACGAGUGGCGGACGGGUGAGUCAUGCUUGGGAAUCUAGCUUAUGGAGGGGGAUAACUACGGGAAACUGUCGCUAAUACCGCGUACCAUAGGAUGAGCCCAAGUGGGAUUAGGUAGUUGGUGAGGUAAAGGCUCACCAAGCCGCCGUUCCCUAGCUGGUCUGCGAGGGUAACAGUCCACACUGGAACUGAGACAAGGCCCAGACACCGACGGAGGACAGAAGUGGGGAAAAUUGCACAAUGGGCGCAGUCCUGAUGCAGCCAUGCCGCGUGUAUGAGGAAGGCCUUAGGGUUUUAAAGUACUUUCAGCGGGGAGGCGUUACCCGAAGAAGAAGCACCGGCUAACUCCGUGCCAGCCGCCGCGGUAAUUC